rnacentral:lncRNA from 1 species
GCGCCAGCACCUGGGACCGCCCCUCCUGUACACGGGGGCCGGUGCUGCGCCGAUGUCCCCGGCGCGCCCACGGGCGCGCCGGGGACAUCGGCGCAGCACCGGCCCCCGUGUACAGGAGGGGGGUUGCAGUGCCCGCCGGUGCUUCCCCUCCCUGUCCCCUGGAACGAGGAAGCGGCUCCGGCCACCUUCAGCCGUCACUCGGCAGUGUAGUUCUCCGCUGGUACCAUCCUCUCGCCCUGCAUCCCCGGGUGCAGGGACAUUUCACCACCCGGGGAUUGAAGGUGCUGGCUCUGGACAUGGCUGGGCAGAGAGGAGGGCUGCCCCUGCCCCUGCUGCUGCUGAGCCUUGCCGUGCUGGACUUCACGCUAGGGACCACCGUCACAGAUGUGACAGUCACUAUGUCCCCGACACUCCCUAUCUCCUCGACACCUACAAAGACCAUGGCACUGCUGCCCACCACCGACUCCACCACCGCAGCCACUGUCCCUCCCUCCAGCCCUGAAACCUCCACCCCGGAGGCGCUGACGGAUGCCUUCACAGCCAGCGAUGCAACGCCUCGCGGGAGCAGCGCGGCAGCCUCCAGCAUCACCACACCGCAGGCGAGCGGCAGCACAGCCCGCAGCACUCCUGGGGCGCCCACUGGCACCACGGUGCAGCCUGACCCCACCCCAACAGGGCCAGGGCUCACCACCGGCACCCCAACUCCAACCCCCAUGGCCACGACACCCAACUGUGCUGAGACGACCAUUGUCACGUCUGUGGGGACCAGCACGGCCCUGGCUGUCAGCUCGUUUGGAGUCAAAACAAGCCCGCUGCCUCCCUCCCCCUCUUCUCUUCUCUCCUCCACCCGGGUGGGCUCCACGCUUGGCACCAGCACCCGCCAAGGGCCAGCCGUGACCACGCUGCUUGGCAGCACAUCCCCAGGGACCGGCAGCGCCUCUUCGCCCACCGCACCGACAGCCACUUCGGACGAGCCCUCGACGACCCCGCUGGACACCACGGCCACCCCAGUUACCAGCAUGGGGGUCCCUGGGAGCACCUCCGCCCCCAGCCAGCCAGCCGGGACCACGGCCGGGACCACCCCUGGUACCUCCACCCCUACGGCACCCGAGACCCCCAGUGCCGCCACGGGGACCACUGCCACAGAUGUGACAGUCACCGUGUCCACAGCUCACCCUACCUACCCAACACCUAUGGAGACCUCGGCACUGCUGCCCACCAGCACCUCCACCACCGCAGCCACUGUCCCUCCCUCCAGCCCUGAAACUGGAGCCUCCACCCCUGAAACUGGACCCUCCACCCCAGAGAUGUCCAGUACAUCACCAGGGCCCGGCAGCACCUCUUCUCCCACCAUGCCUCCUCCCACCGCACCAGCACCGACAGCUGCUUCGGCCGAGCCCUUGACAUCAGACACCACGGCCACCCCUGAUACCAGCACGGGGGUCCGUGGGAGCACUCCCGCUCCCGGCCAGCCAGCGGGAACCACAGCCAGAGCCACCCCUGGCAUCUCCACCGUGACCACGGGGCUAGUCCCAGGCACCCCGACAGCACCCGAGACCCCCAGUACAGCCACGGGCGUGGAGCCCUCUUCCCCCGCCACCGACUCAACCCAGACCCCAGAGGUUACCCUCAGCACCCCUGCAGACCUACCAACGACACUGCCCGUCUGCGACACCGCCACGUCCAACACCAGUGCAUCUCACCUCUUUUUGUCACUGCGGCUAACUGUCCCCUUGGACCUGGGGAACACCACAGUGCAGGAACUGGUGUUGUCCAAGCUCCGCAGGGACCUGCAGACGGCGUUCCCAUUUGCCGGCCUGGCAGUGGAGUGGCGAGGGCACAGGAGGACCUGACUGCUGCUCCUCGCCUGGCCGGCACCCGUGCGGACUGGCAAGCCUUCUUCUCCCAGCUCCUUACUCCACGGCGGCGCAGCCCUUCGGGGUAACCUGUACAGCUCCCCUUGAACCUGGGAACCCCCUGUCCUUCACUGCACACCCCCCAGAGGACCCCCAGUGCCUCCCGUGGGCUGGGGUGCCCCUGCCCCUUCCACAGCCCGUCUGUAGAGCCCGAGCCCUCCCACCACACUGCACCAGCCGUGGGACCCCCCAGUGCUGCUGGGGGGCUGGGAGGAGGGGAACCUGCAGGGGCUGGGCUUUUACACCUGGGACUGAGAUGGCUCAGCCACAAAAGCCACCCUGGGGAUCGAUGGAUGAGAGCAAGGAGACCUGGACCCCCCGGUACUGCUGUGCCCGGGGCACUCGGGGGCUCAGUGCUGGUGACCUCUGUGGUUUGCAGCCUGGGGAGGCUGCGGUGCCCGAGGUCUUCAAGAGAUGCUCCAUGGCUGCUUCACAUCCAGACCGGGCCAAGAUGGAGCCUGGGGUGGCUCUGGGAAGGAGGCAGGAGAGGAAAAGAGCCCGCCUCUCCCACCUGAGCCCCGUCCCAGGUCCAGCUGAGCUCCUGAGCCCUGCAGCGCAGAGGGCGAGUGAAGCCAGAGCCCCGCACACCAUCUGUCCCCGGCUCGCCUACAAUAUUGCUGACAGAGGAGCACACCCAUGCCAACACGGGCUGGGCAGUAAAGGAAAUCCCACGUUUUCUGCAGCAAAGAUGAUGACUUCUUUUUUUUCUGAAUUGCCUUCCCCAGUUUUCAGCUUUGCCAUCUAGCAGAGGUACGGGCAAGAAAAAACGGCUGAGUCCCAAAAGCUUCGCAGCAGAGACGGGCUCAGGGCUGUCCCCUCCUGUCAGGGGCUGCUGCAGAUGUUCCCAAGGAUGGCUUGGCACCUCGACACGCUGGGGGGUCCCCGCUUUCAUGCUCUGCCCCAUGACACCCCAUGGCUGCCAGGGCAGCUGUGCACACCAUGGGGCCAUGGAAAUCCCGUGGGUUGUGCUCCUUCCCUGUUUUUUUCCAGUCCCCACCUAAGGAGACGGCCGCAGCGUCUGUCCCCCUGCAGCAAAGUCAUUUAUUAACUGAUUAAUUAGCCAGAUAAAAUCCAACUGAAGCAAUUAUUAGCCUAAGCAAGUCACCUCGCCUGGAGAUUGAAAACUGAAAUAAUUAGCAAAAUAGCU